CCUACGGGGGUCUGCAGUGGGGAAUAUUGGUCAAUGGACGCAAGCCUGACCCAGCAACGCCGCGUGCAGGAAGAAGGCUUUCGGGUUGUAAACUUCUUUUCUCAGGGACGAAGCAAGUGACUGUACCUGAUGGAUAAGCCACGGCUAACUACGUGCCAGCAGCCGCGGUAAUACGUAGGUGGCAAGCGUUAUCCGGAUUUACUGGGUGUAAAGGGCGUGUAGGCGGGGACGCAAGUCAGAUGGGAAAACCACGGGCUCAACCUGUGGCCUGCAUUUGAAACUGUGUGUCUUGAGUACUGGUGAGGAAGACGGAAUUCGUGGUGUAGCGGUGAAAUGCGUAGAUAUUAGGAGGAACACCAGUGGCGAAGGCGGUCUGCUGGAGAGCAACUGACGCUGAGGCGCGAAAGCGUGGGGAGCAAACAGGAUUAGAUACCCGAGUAGUC
rnacentral:rRNA from 1 species